rnacentral:ncRNA from 16 species
ACGCAGGAGCAGUUGCCGAGAGCGUGCGCUUGAAGCGCGCAGCGUCGGUGGUUCGAUUCCACCCCUGUCCACCA